GACGAACGCUGGCGGCGUGCCUAAUACAUGCAAGUAGGACGCAGUUGCGAACGGGGGAGUAACGCGUAGGAAACUGCCUAAGAGAGGGGGAUAACUAUUGGAAACGAUAGCUAAUACCGCAUACUAGUAGAUGGACCUGCGUUGUAUUAGCGAGUAGGUAGGGUAAUGGCCUACCUAGGCAACGAUACAUAGCCGACCUGAUAGGGUGAUCGUCCACCCUGGGACUGAUACACGGCCCAGACUCCUACGGGAGGCAGCAGUAGGGAUUCUUCGGCAAUGGGGGGAACCCUGACCGAGCAACGCCGCGUGAUUGAAGAAGGUUUUCGGAUCGUAAAGCUCUGUUGUUAAGGAAGCGGUACUUAACCAGAAAGGGACGGCUAACUACGUGCCAGCAGCCGCGGUAAUUC
rnacentral:rRNA from 1 species